GCGGAGGAAAAGAAAAUAACAAUGAUUUCCCUAGUAACGGCGAGUGAAGAGGAAAGAGCUCAAAGUUGGAACCUGUUUGGCUUAGCUAAACCGGAUUGUAAACUGUAGAAGUGUUUUCCAGACACGCCUGGUAAAAAAGUCCUUUGGAACAGGGCAUCAUAGAGGGUGAGAAUCCCGUCUUUGGCCAGAGCUGUUGUCUUUUGUGAUACAUUUUCAAAGAGUCAGGUUGUUUGGGAAUGCAGCCUAAAUUGGGUGGUAAAUCUCACCUAAAGCUAAAUAUUUGCGAGAGACCGAUAGCGAACAAGUACCGUGAGGGAAAGAUGAAAAGAACUUUGAAAAGAGAGUUAAACAGUAUGUGAAAUUGUUAAAAGGGAACCGUUUGGAGCCAGACUGGCUUGACUGUAAUCAAUCUAGGCUUCGGCCUGGAUGCACUUGCGGUUUAUGCCUGCCAACGACAAUUUUUUUUGAGGGAAAAAACUAUUCGGAAUGUGGCCCUCCCUCGGGGGGGUGUUAUAGCCUUAUAGAAAAUACCUUGAAUUGGAUUGAGGAACGCAGUGAAUGCCUUUAGGCAAGAUUGCUGGGUGCUUUCGCUAAUAAAUGCUAGAAUUUCUGCUUCGGGUGGUGCUAGUGUUUAAAGGAGGAACUCGCCUGGUAUAUUUUUUAUUCGCUUAGGUUGUUGGCUUAAUGACUCUAAAUGAC
rnacentral:rRNA from 1 species